UUGAAACAAAAGCUAAAAUGGGCACAAAUGCACACCUUGAGAUUUGUUAAGAUCUUCCCACCCAAAACAAUGCUUGAGGAGAAAAUGAUUGUUACUCAGUUUUUAUAUAUGCUAGUUUAUGUGUACAUGCUCAUUAAAGGGUUACUUAUUCUAUUGCAGACUGAGAUAACUUGGGCACACCAAAAGGCCAAGUUCAUAAACUUCAAGGUCACUCCCAUUUGCCCAAGCCCACAUCUCAUAUAAAGUAGGAAAUGGUAUUAAUAAUGUGUCUUACUACAUUGUUCACACACCUGGCAUAUAUAAUUGUAACUAUACAUUUUCAUCAUAAAAUGUUUAUAAGAACCUUUUGCCUAUGACACUGAUUGGCAAGAAGUGGAGAUAGUCCGAUAUAUUUUGAACCUCAGGGAAAUGGCACUCAGUAUAAUGUAUGUGUUUCGUUUCUUUUUCCUUCCUUCCUUCCUUUCUUUGCACUUGUGCCAUCCAGGGGCAAUGGUGUUUUCACACCAGGUGACACCCAGUGUGGGAUCAUGUGACUUCUGGGGUGGGACUUCUGGGGCCCAGGGAGCAGUUGUGUGGACCCAGAGAGCACUUGCACAGGCCUAGGGAUCUCCCACGUGGCCCAGAGUGGUAGCCGAAUGGCCCAGAGGAGUGCCCACACAGGCCCAAAUUGUUCUUGCAGAGGCACUGAGAAGCCGCCGCAUGGGCCUAGUACCCGCAGGGGGCCCACUGGGUGUCACUUCCCUCUUCUGAGGUGUCAUUCCCCUUCUGGGGUGUCACCCAGUGCUGCCUGCACCCCCCCCCCCCCCCCCAAGGAUGCUACUGUCCACCUAUAGCAUGCCAAAAAUGCAAGCAAAACAAAAGUGGCCAGGAAUCCAUUUCUGGGCUAGAAAAGCAGGUAUUUUUUAUGUCAAAGAGUACAAAGAGUCACAGAAACCUAUUUAAAAGUUAAAGUGAAGGCUUCAAAUUGUAGCUGUUCACGUUGACUGUUUUUUGUUGUUGUUGUUUGUUUGUUUGUUUGGAUAGAAAAGAAGUUGUUCAGGGAAUCUGCCUCCAAAAUGAAGGAACAGAUAGUCUUGGAAUAUGGGGUUCUCAAGGCUGAAACAGACAGCCUGUGGGCCAGCUUGGGGUUGGCUUGGGUGUGUUGUGCUUAGAUGCACCAUGCCCCCAAGCCAGACAGAAGCCAGACUGGCGAUUUUAUGCUGGCCGGCUUCUCUCCCGCUUGGGGGCGUGGCAUUGCCCCCGAGCUAGCUCUUGUGGGGGAAAUCUGGCUCUUUGGGAGAAGGGCCGGUUUACCACAUUUUAUCCACUCCUUUUGGGGGUGGAAUCUGUCUGGAUUUGGGCCUAAUGUCUGUUCGCCCCAGCUCCAAUCCAGCCUAAAAGGGGAGGCUCUAAGCUGCUUGUUUUCACCCAGUCUGGAAGGUAAACAUCCAGUUACUGAGGGAGAUAAAUUCCGUGAGAUGACCAGGAGGAGAAAGGCUGUGUGUGCUAGCUGCUCCUGGUGUGCUAUUUUUUUCUUGAUAAAGGCAUUGUUUAUUUUUAUUUAUUUUUUUAUCUUAACCCCAGAAACCUUUGAAAAGCAAACUGCUACAGCCUUGUUGGAAAGAUUAGAGCUUCAAGACUUCUGCUGAGGAAGAUCAGAGGACUAGUAUAAAUAGCACCAUGUCUAAUAACACAACUGGAUUGAAGCUGGAAGGACAUUCAGCUGUUCAUAUGCUCAGAGGUGAAAGAUGGGAGAGCUGCUAACAUAAAGGAGGUUAUGAAAGAAAUUGUCUCUCCAUUCGAUGGCCAACAACUGCUUCACUUCAUUAAUAAACCCCAGAUGGUGCUGCUCAGGAGUUUUCAGGUUCAGAACAUCCCAGAAGAGAAUGGCUGCUUACCUUUUUCUCCACUCUACAGAUACAUGGUGGUCAUGCAGAUCAUCCUUGAUUUCCUGUGGGAUGGCAGGGGCUCUCUUGACUCUCCCUGAAAAGGACUGUAUUUUCCCAAUGCUAUGUAGUAUAUCUGGGAAAGAAUUAUUCUAUAAAUGCAUGAGUCAUUAGGUUAGAAUCAUCUUUUCUUCCAAAGGACAACAGAAGAGCAGCUGAGAACCAUCUGGUUCAAGUUGAAUCAACCCUAGGGAGAAGAGGCUAAUUUUCAAUUCACUAAAUAGGGGUUGAGGAAAAAGUUUGUGAGCAUAUCAUGAAAUAUGAUAUCCAAUGAAAAAAAGUGUAAGAGCCAAAACAGUAGGAAUGGAAAGAAUAUUUGAAAAAAGAACACCAUAUUUUCUCAAAUGUUGGGAAACCCUGAUGACGAGUACUGGGACUGAUGAAAAUGUUCACAGUUCAGUACUUAUUGAAAACAAUGAAAACAAGAGGGGGGGGAGUAAAAAUAUAUUAAUAUUGAAGGAAAGUAAGUGUGAGAACAACCCGGAUUUCUCCCUAAAAGUAUUAAUGACUAAUAAAGGUUAAGAACAUUAUCAAAGCAUAAAUUAGAAUAGAAUAAGUAAGCUAAACAAAGGGGAAAAUGGUGAAAGUAAUGACAAAGUAUGAAGAUGUGGCAUUGAGAACCGUGAUAAAUGACAGAAAGUCAAGAACUUAAGGAACUGACAAAUCAGCAAAUGAUGGAAAGGAAGUAAGGUAUAAGUGGAUAGAGAAUGAAAGAAAGUGAAAGAAGUUUAGAGUAAGUGGAAGAUGGUAAGAGAGAGAAAAUGGGACUUAGAUGGAUAAGAUAAGAAGGAUAAGGAAAGAAGGGAGGAAAGAGAGAAAGAAUAGGUAAGCUAGCGUUAGAAUGAUUGAAGGAAUAGAAAGUGAGGUAUAAAGUAGAAGGAUAUUGAGUGAAAGGGAAUGAUUGAAAGGUCAUCAAUGCUGAUUGUGUUAGAAAGAUAAUAAACUAAACAAAAACAUUAAUGAAGAUGUAAAAUUGUAUGUUUUGUAUGCUUGUAAUAUUGUAUGUUUGUUUUAAAAUUGGGGAGGGAAGAAUAUAUGUCUAUGUUUGUCUAUGUUUAUGCUUAAGUUUUAAAGUUCAAUAAAAAUAUUUUUUUAAAAAACAGUUCAAUACUU